AAAAAGUAUAUUUUUACACUGUUCAUGUUUAAUGUUUGAUCAUUCGUUUUAUUUGAAAUGUUUUUAUGAUUAGUAUUUUCAUUAUUAGUAUUUUUAUUGUUAUUAAAUGAAAACAUAGACAAUAUUUUAUUUGUGACUAAUUUUUUUAAUUUUUUUUAAAUAAGAUGAACGGUUAAAUGUUAGACACAGAAACCCACAACUACACUUAAA
rnacentral:pre_miRNA from 1 species